rnacentral:miRNA from 1 species
UGUGUGUGUGUUAUUUACCGGCUGCGAGGUCGGGAUGAGAAAAACUGUGCCCAAGGUCUUGAAAACGGCCCCAGCCCGAAGGGCGAGGGACGCUUUCAAGACCGAGGGCACUGUUUUUCUCAUCCGGACUGACGCUGCCGGUAAAUGACGUGUUUAUC